GGGGGUAAAGCUCUGUGGUAGAGCAUUCGACUGCAGUUCGAGAGGUAUCCGGUUCAAUCCCGAGUGUCCUCU